UUGGCCUGUAGCCCCCUUAGAUCUCCAUGCUCCCAGAGGUGGUGACACACUUGUAUUCAGCGGCCAUCACCGGUCUUGCUUGUAAAAGUCCGAUUUCGAUGUGGGCACGCUUUCCUGAGUGCCGCGAGUCUCUGGAAUUACCCUAAACUUCCUCUUUGCUUUGCAGUGAUGGAGAAGUAGGAACAUCCCACUGACAGGAAUGGUAGCCUCCCAUGCAGAAGCGGGUUAACUAAUUUCGUUUUCCCAGUUGGGAUACCACAACCUUAGCAUGUGGAUUUAUCUUGAAACCAGGAAGCCCUGACAUACAUUGCUGCCCAAACAAGAGGAAUCCCAGCGUUCUAUCCUAUAAUGAACAACAAAAAAGCAUAUAUCCAGAAGAUAUCUAUCCUGAUGAUUGCAAAGUGCUUAAGCCUAGGCUCUGAGAAAAAGCACCAACUGCCUUCACGUUCUUCUGGGUAUUCUGUUCUACGUUUUCUUCACAUCUCCUUUGACUGAAAAUUUCCAGGGCAUCUGUGUUUAUGGACUGAAUGUUUAUGUCCCCCCCCCCCAGCCCAAAUUUGUAUGUCGAAGCCCUAGCCCCAACAUAACUGUAUUUGGAAAUAGGGUAGGACCCUGAUCCAGUAGGAUUCGUGUCCUUAUAAGAAGAGGCACCAUCAGAGCACUCUCCUGUCCCUCUCUCCCUGUCUCCCUCUCCCUAGCACAGGCAAGAAAAGAUCACGUGAACACAAAGCAAGAUGGCAGCCACCUACAAGCCAAGAGAAGAGGCCGCAGAAUGAAACCUAUUUUGCCAACACCUUGAUCUGGGACUUCCAGCCUCUAGAACUGUGAGAAAAUAAGUUUCUGUUGUUUAAGCCAUCCAGUUUAUGACAAUUUCUUAUGGUAGCCCAAAUAGAUUAAGACACUCCCCCCCUCCCCCAACAAUGUUUUCCCAGGAACAUGGCCACAAUUGCUGGUGCCCCUCCCCCCCUGAAGGACUGCUUGGUGUCCCCACACAUGGGUACGACUGGAGAGAUCUUGGCUCUCUAAGGGGCCCACACCACCACAGCUUGAGGAGGAUGCAACACAGCCCAAGGCCCCAGAGGAUGACUGAGGACCAGAUGCUAAGGGAAGCUUUUUUUCAGCCAUCAACCCCUAGAGGAAUAUGUGUGUGUGAGUGUGUAUGUGUAUGUGUGUGUGCGUGUAUGUCUGUUGAGGGGUAACUUUUUCAAAGGGUCCAUACUAGAAAUGUCCUCAAGUUCAGGGCUGCGUGGGACUUGUUCCCCACCCUGAAGUAUGCAACCAAAGUGUGAAUGUUGGCCUCAGAAGAUACCAGCUCAGUGAGGGCUGUAUCUGGGGAAGCUGUUCGAUUUCAUGGAAAGAGCAUUGGCUCUAGAGUCAGAGAAAGCUGGGUUCCAAUUCAAGCUUUUUAGGGCAUGCAUCAAAAUAGUAUAAGCAAAGGCUGUAUUGGCUCAUGUCACUGAAAAAUCCAAGGAGUUGUUAUGCUUUCAGGCACAGCAACAUCAAGGCCCUCAAAAGAUGUUAUUGGAAAUCUGUGUUCUAUCUUUCCAUGCUAUUUCUCCAAUGGCUUCACUCUGGGGUCUUCCUCAGUAGCUAUAGACUCAUGUGAUCCUUAGUACUCAGGAUGGGUGGAGGAAGGAGAGAGUCUCUUUCCAAGGGUACAACAAAGACUUGGUGAUAUUGCUGAUUGGCCAAUUCUAAAUCACAUAUUCACCCCUGGGUGGGAUGGGGCGGGUGGGGACUCCCAAUUAAACCUGGAAGAGAUGAUACUGUUACUUAAGGAGGAAGUGAUGCAAGUCAGGCCAAAUCAAUAAUGUCUACAUAGACACUAAAGGACUGUGUGAUUCUAAGCAAGUUGUUUAACCUCUUUGAUCCUCAAGUUCCCCUUUUAUAGAAUGGUUAUACGAGUACCUGCCACCAAGGAAGCUACACAAAGCUCAAGGCACAGAAUGGAGGUGUAAUAACUGUUAACUUUCUUCUUGCUUCCUUUUCCUGCUCCUGGCCUUCUCCUGGAGGCCUGGGAAUGUACCAGGUUUGCCUUGAUUGGUAUUGAAGAUGUCAUGCUGUUUCAGGUUGGGGAUCCUUGAGCAGUAUGAAGACUUCAGAAUACACUCAAUGGAGUUCCUGUGCCAGGGGUCUGUUGCAUUUGGCAAUGGUGGCCUCCAGGGCACAGUGGACUCUGAGUUGGGCUCUUCUCUGGUUGGGCUCAGCCCUGGGACAUCCGGAAAGGCUGGCGGAGGCCUUGCAAAGGGCAAGUGACAUCUGCAGUUGUCUGGAAAGGAGAGCUUACAACUGCAGCAGCUGUGGGCUCAUGGGGAUUAGCCAGGGCUAAGAAGGAGGCAGGACUCUGAGUGCACCACGGAUUUUGGAAUGUCCUAAGCCUGGGAAAAUGAAGUGGACCCUGGCUACUCCCAAUAGGAGCACUGGAAACAACCCAAAUGCAUAUCAAUAGCAGAUUAAACAAUCAUGCUAAUUCCAUACAAGGGGACUCUAUGGUGUUACGAAAAGAGAGAAGCCGUUCUCCAUGUAUUGAUGUCAAAAGAUGUCCACUACUGAGAGCCAAGUUUAAAAAGAAAAAGGCAAAGUAAAAACAGCAUUACAUAUGUUCUCAUUUCAAUUUAUAUGUACUAUAAAGAUCCAUAAUAGCAUGCACUGAAAAAAAGUAUCUGGAUGAAUAUAAACCAAGCAGUGUUUAUCUCUGAGGUUAUAGGGACUUUCGCUGUUUUAUGGCAUGCACUUUGUAAUUUUUAUUACAGCCAUGUGUUACUUUUAUUAUCAGAAAUAACAACAAUGAUUCUUAAAAUAAGAAAAAAAAUAUUGAUCAGAAGAAAGUACUGCACACUCAUUCUUAGAAACAACUGACACCAGAGAUCUUGUGAUGUUAUUCUUGAAAAUCAAGGGAUUCUACUGAACAGGUUUGCACACCAGUGACUGGAUUCGGGAAAGUUGUUUUGGGGUUUUUUGGGGGUUUUUUUGUUGUUUGUUUUUUGGUUUUUGGUUUUUUUGCUUAUGUAGUGCAAUGCUGCUGCACGUGAUUAAAACAUAUUUUUUUCCAUGGGUUGGAGAAGUAGUAGCCUAAUAGCUUAUUUCCUAAGAUUUCCACUAGAAAAGCCCACAAGUUGUUUUAAGAUGCUUACAUGAACACAAAUUAGAAAGUGACAAGCCUUUCUUUAUUACACAUUAGUGAGAAGGAGGAAGAGGGGCGUGA